GAGCAAUUAUUGCCUAUCAUUAGUUUUUCUUUCUUUCACUCUACCUGAAACCACUAGAGGAAAAUGGCGGCACCGUUAGUAAACAGAGAAAGGGAGAUUCAGAGAUUGAAUUCGAGAAUUUGUGGAUACAGUGAUGGUUUGGGACUGAAUUUGUGGAUUUAAAUCUGAGAUGAAUUUGAGGUUGAGAGAUGGAAGAUCUCGGUAAAUGAAGAUGGGUUCGAUUUCAGUAGAUGAACUCAGAUGAAGAAGCUUCUUCUCUUGAAUCGAAAAUGGGUUUCCGUUGAAUUGAAUAUUAGAUGAGGUUGGGAGUGAAUCUGAGUUGAUCAGUGAAGAACAUCGAUUACAGGUGGUCUUGUAACUGUUACAGGGAAGAUGGAAUCGAAUUAGGGUUUUUGGGUCGAAUUGGAGUAGUUCAGUGAAGGUGGUGGUUGGAAUUGAAGUUGUUACAGCUGAGAAUGGGUUUGCAGAUGUUUAUUGAGCACUAUUGUGAUGGCAGAAGCUUGAAUUCAGAUUAAGGGAGUCUGAUGCUAGUUGAGAUGGUGGUGCAGUCGAUGAUUAUUAAUGAGAUUGCUGGGAUUUUGAAGUUAAGAGGGAAAUGGACAUUGGGCACUAACCAAUUGUGCAGAAUGGAUGACAUAUGAGCUGAAGGCAAUGAAGAAUGAAGACAGAAAUUGAACUCAGAGAAUGAAGCUGAUUUAUGUCAGUCUGUAAAGAAGUGUUGCUGCUGUUGUAAUUGAAGAAUGAAGUUGUUGCUGGUUGUAUGAUGAUGAACGACAAAGAAAGAGGAAAGGGUUUCUGGAUCUGAUGAUGGUAGAACUGAUAUUCGAGCAGAUGAAGGAAGAACUGGAGAUGCAGAAAUUGUUAUUGGAUUUGGUUCUACAGUAGUCUAUUAAUGGAAUUCAAGAUGCUGGUGCUGUAUUAUGGAGCAGAGAAGAACUAGGUUGUUGUUUUUGUCAUCACAAAAUUUAUGGGUUUGUUGUGCUGGUAGUUGAAAAUUGGAUGCUGGUAGUUGAAAAUUGGAUGAAGCUGAGGAAAAAUGGGUUUUGGCUCGGGAUUGAACUGAAAUAAGAGAGAUGCUGCUGUGUUGUGCAGUAAUGGAAAUGAGUUGCAGUGGUGGAUGAAAUGCAGGUACUGGAGACAAUGAAGAUGCAGUUCAGUGGGUUACUCAUUAAUUGGUUGUGUGUGUAUAGGCUGCAAUGUAUGGUUCAGUUCGGCGGUGGAGACAACUGGUGCUGUGGAUGUGUUUACAUGGGUUGGCUCUGUAGAGUUGCAGCUGAGGUUGCGAGUUGUUGUUGAGUGAGAUCAUGUCAGCUGUUACAGGAGCCAAGGAAGGAGUUGAGAACAGCUGCAAAUGGUAACAGUUGCAGGUUGCUGCUAGUGGAAAUGACAGGCUCUGGUGAUGAAGGUGGAGUUUAUGAAUCUCAAGUUGCUGUUAUAAAUUGAGAGGAUAAUUGACAGCAGGUAGUGAAGUGGCUUAUUAAUGAUCAACUAGAUGUAUGUUAGGAGUUGAUAUUGUAGGUACUGGUACAGCUGCAGUUAAGACAGAGGAACAAAUAUCGAAGGAUGAAGUUCAGCUGAGAAUUACAAAGGAGUGCAACUGGUGUUUGGUCACUGUGUCGCAGAAGCUACAACAUUGGAGUAAUGGGUUCAGGCAAGAUAAAUGGGUUGUGCUGCUGAUGAUAUGUUGGUUCAGGUCUGGUGGUAAUGAUUCUGGUGGUGGAUUUGUGCAUUAGAUGGAGGCUUACUUGAGUUGGUGCUGUGUAUGUAAGGUUACAUGGAACUUCCAUCAUGGCUGGAUGCACAAUAAUGGUGCAGCACAAGCUCUGGCCAGUGCAAAUGGCCUAGGCCAAAUCCACCCAGCCCAAUCAGCCUGACAGACCUGACUCUGCUCUGACUCAUCCGCCGUUAGUCUGCCGUUAACCAUAACGGUUGACUGUUAUGUUUGACUACUGAUGGGGCGGACUUUGCCGGUCACCAGAGCUAUGUUCCGACUAGUUUUCCGGCGAAGUUCCGGCCAUUUUACCAGUUUCCCGGCGACCACUUUUGGGGUAUAUUUUCACAUGGGUAUUCCUCACAUAUGGGCUUGGUGGACAUCUUUAUAUUGGACUUUGGGCUUUGAAGACCUAGUUUUGGAAAGAGGAAAGCUAUAAAAAGAAAAAGUUUCUACUUCUUUUGAGGAUGACGUAUUUUCUACUUGGAGUUUUGGUGGAGAGCGGCGAUUCUACUAGGGUUUGCUUUUUGUUUAUUUUUCAUAUCUUUAUUUUAUGAAAAUGAUUAUGAUGAACUCCAUUAUUAUGAGUAACUAAACACAAUUAUUGGUUAUGGGAUAAAAGUUGAUUUCUCAAGCAUGAUAUUUAAAUCAAUGGAUUAGUUUUGUC